ACAGUGAGAGUCACUGUCUUGCAAGAGCUGCUGCUGCUAUGAUCUCUGCAACCAGACGGCCUGGGCCUCCGCUGACUCUGCUGCUUACUCAACUCCUGACUGUUGCUUAGCCAGUCUGAGACUCACCUCUCUCAUCACAAGAAGAAGAAGGAGGAAUUACAAGAUUUCAUCUUCACAGGGAGCCUGCUGUUCUUAAGAAUGGAUAGGAGAGGAGGGAACCGUCAAGACUCACGAUAUCAGCUCAAAGGAGAAUACACAUGGACUACAUUGUGUUAACAGAAGCAGCACUGCAGACUUCAGGUUCAAGUCUCAACUCUGUCCCCAUUAGCUACAGCAAGCACCAGCGGAGCAGAAAUUUUAUGUAAGGCUGUGAUUGCUUGAGGAAGUCAUUUUAUCCUUUGGGCCCUCAGUUGAAUUGAAAAGACUUCAUUCAUCCUACCCAAGGCUUCAUCCUACCCAAGGCACUCUUGGCAUGCAUUUUAAUUUUUUUGUCUUAGAGCUUCUAAACAUUAAAAAGAAAAACAAAAAACCUGACUUUUAAGAAAGUGUAGGCUUCUGGUCUCAGCUCCGUUGUAGCUGAAAUGUAGAAAGCUUAGACAUCACAUUUGGUUUACAAGGAAACACUGAACAAAUGGAACAUCAGUAACUUUUCUGGAACUAUCUGGGGGCACGCAGACAGGAACACCUGAGAUCUACUUACUUUGAGCAGAAGCUGCUGGAGCUCUAUACUGGUUGAGAGGCUGUGCAUCUGGGGCUGCUGAGGCCCAUCUCUGGUAUUUCAUGGGAAAAGAACACUUCAGAGUGAAGCCAACACAAAGAAAAACAGCUCCAAGGUGGAGAUAGAUUAGUGACAUCAUCUGAGCCCCAAGCAGUGGCUCUGUCCAGAACAACAUCCACCUCUCUUCUUUCCAGUUACAAGAGACAACAAAUCCCCUCUCCUGCCUCAGCCAUCUUAGGUUGGAUUUCUGUCACUUGGAAUAAAACAGUACUGGUUAAUGCCCCCCCAAAAGGCUAAAUAAGGUAGAGAGUGCUUCAUUAAGGCAAGAAUAAAGCAAGUUAUUUGACACACUAAAAUAAAGCAGAAUGCUACCUUAUUCACAAUAUAUCAAGUGACAGGAAAUACUUUCUUUUCCUAAUAAGAAAUAAUAAGGAUAAAGCAAAUUAAAAUUAUAGCAUUAAGACAUCAUUUCUGAAAGUCUAUCUAACAUUCUAUAUUGGGAAGGAUGUUGAGAACUGGAUAUUCUCAGAGUACUCAUAAGAGUUAAAAUUGAUACCAAAGAACAAAUCAUCCAAUCAAGAAAUGGGCAGA